rnacentral:lncRNA from 1 species
UCUGUGGGUGGUCCCACCCCACCUGUCAAAGUUGGCACAAGGAAGCAGAGGGAGAUACAGGUAUGGCCAACCAAAAUUAUUCCCUGCACCUAGACCAAAUAAUCAGACCAAAUAUUAUAAGGCAACUUCCUGUGUUCCUAUCGGACUCUGUUCUGCUCUGAAUAACAUCGCUGGGGGGCAACAGAGACCAAAAUACCCCCAGAAGAGGAAACAAUUUGGGUUUUACAGACCAGUUCCAAGCCAGACUAUGGGGAUUCUAUCCAUCACUAGUUGAGAUGGGAGUGCAGACUCUAUACACACAAUCUCUGACUCAUCAAACUGCAGGUUCCCCCAUUAGGCACAUACAACUUGGUAGGCUCGGUUCCCAAGGAAGCAGUGACUGUGUGAAGGCCAGGGGUGGGAACAUCAAGCUCAAUCAGCUCCUAUGCAAUCUUUGUAUGUGCUUCCAGACUGUGUGGAAAGGGAUGGCGUGGGAGGUGAUUCUGCUAGUAUUUUGGGAACUGCGAAGGGAAAACUGGGGAGCAGAUGAAGGAAGUCAAGAUCAAGCCUAUAGUCUCUCUCUGUCUGUCUCAUUUAAUAUUCCUAUGUGUUUUCUUGCAGCUGAACUAAUCUCAAACACUCCUAUUGUUUUGCCCCAGAACCUGAGCAAGACUCUGACAUUUCAAAGAAGUGGACUGACUUGCCACUGCUAGCACAUUAUCACAUAGCAAAUGUAGUGAAACACUAAGGCGCCAGGGCAAUUGUUACCUGCUCCGCGAAGCAUGACAUCAGAGGCCUGCUGAUGCUAUUUGAUCUUCCAGUUCAUGUCUGGCUAAUGCUCAUGGCAUUAAAUAUCACACAAUUCACAGGGACGAGAGCAGAGCAAAACUCCAUUGAGUAGACAUUUCUGCAGAACUCAACUUCUCCCUGUUAUUGACUCUCUGUCCAGAAGCUGGUGUGCGUUGCCUGUACCCAAGUCACUUCCAGAUGACCUGAUUAUUGACCAUUCAUCCUAUUUGGAUUCCUUUGUGGGGAGGUUAUACCACAUGCAGGUCUCAAUCUCUGAACACAAUGCGUUCUCGGGAAAUCAUUUGUUAGGCAAGCGUUUGCAUGACAAAUGGACUGUUUCCCCUGAUUCCUAUGGGGAAAUUUCUAAUACAUUCCCAGUCAUGGAAUUUUCACCAGAGAAAUGUUGGCGGACUUGCUGUCUUCAUCCCUCAACUCUAACGCCAAAACCCUUACAGAUCUCCAUCAGCGGUUCGAGUCUAAUGCCCCAAGCUAGAAGAGCAACACCCCAGGCAAACAAGGAAUUGGGAUUUCUAAGGAAGUCUUUUAAAGCACACUCUUCCCCAGACAAACCACAAACCUCAGUUUUUCCACAGAUGACAAAAAACAGACAGCAGGCCUGUUAGUAUUUAUCAGUGCUGCACUGAAAAUUUCUCCUGCAUUCUCUCCCCCUGCCCCCAAUCCUGGCAAAAAAAACCAAAAAACCCUGCAUUCUCCAUCAAUUAAUGAGAAAAGAAAUUGCAUUGAAAAAUUAACAAUGGGAAGAGGAAAUUCAAGUGAAAUUCUCACGGAUUGGUUACAGGGGUUUCUUCAUGCUUAAUAAUAAUGAUGAUGAUGAUUAUGAUAAUGAUAAUAAUUUAUUAUUUAUACCCUGCCUAUCUGGCUGGGUUUCUCCAGCCACUUUGGGCAGCUCUCAACAG